rnacentral:rRNA from 1 species
UACGUAGGGUCCGAGCGUUGUCCGGAGUGACUGGGCGUAAGGCGCGCGCAGGCGGCCUGUUAGGCGCGACGUGAAAGCCCCGGGCUCAACCCGGGAGGGUCGUCGCGAACCGGCGGGCUUGAGGCCGGUAGAGGUGGGUGGAACUCCUGGUGGAGUGGUGAAAUGCGUAGAGAUCAGGAAGAACACCCGUGGCGAAGGCGGCCCACUGGGCCGGUACUGACGCUGAGGCGCGAAGGCGUGGGGAGCGAACGGG